AAAAGUUUAGGAUACCCAGUCCAAGAGCCUUCAAAGCCCUAAGCAAACCUACAAAGUUUAACUUCUG
rnacentral:tRNA from 1 species